GGCCUACCAUGGUGGUAACGGGUAACGGGGUGUUAGGGCACGACGCCGGAGAGGGAGCCUGAGAAACGGCUACCACAUCCAAGGAUGGCAGCAGGCGCGCAAAUUACCCAAUCCCGACACGGGGAGGUAGUGACAAUAAAUAACAAUACGGGGUUCUUUAGGAUCUCGUAAUUGGAAUGAGUACAAUUUAAAUCUCUUAACGAGGAACAAUUGGAGGGCAAGUCUGGUGCCAGCAGCCGCGGUAAUUCCAGCUCCAAUAGCGUAUAUUAAAGUUGUUGCAGUUAAAAAGCUCGUAGUUGAAUUUCGGGAUCAAUUUAUUGGUCGUGCUAUUGUACGCACUGGUAUUAUUGAUUCCUACCUUCUGACGAACCAUGAUGUCAUUAAUUUGGUGUGGGGGGGGAAUCAGGACUGUUACUUUGAAAAAAUUAGAGUGUUUAAAGCAGGCUCACGCUUGAAUACAUUAGCAUGGAAUAACGAAAUAGGACGUUCGAUCCUAUUUUGUUGGUUUCUAGGAUUGACGUAAUGAUUAAUAGGGAUAGUUGGGGGCAUUAGUAUUCAAUUGUCAGAGGUGAAAUUCUUGGAUUUAUUGAAGACUAACUACUGCGAAAGCAUUUGCCAAGGAUGUUUCCAUUAAUCAAGAACGAAAGUUAGGGGAUCGAAGACGAUCAGAUACCGUCGUAGUCUUAACCAUAAACUAUGCCGACUAGGGAUCGGAUGAUGUUGAUUUUUUAAUGACUCAUUCGCACCUUACG
rnacentral:rRNA from 1 species